rnacentral:lncRNA from 1 species
UUUAUUAUUGGUCCAAAAAAUAUGGGACCAAUUGCAUUAUUUCUCUUUUAAUUUCUAGUUUCUAAAAAUGAUUUUUAAUAUUUUUUAUUUUAACAUUUGCUAUUUUUUAAUAAUUUUCUCUUUUUUGGUUAUUUUUAAUUCAUUUUAAAUAGUUUUUGAUAUCCAAAAAAUACAAAAAUAUUUUUCUAACCUCUUUGAAUGAUGAUGGAUCUAUGAAAAAUAUUCUCAUCAAUUUCUUAAUUGAUU